UACGGAGGGGGCUAGCGUUGUUCGGAAUUACUGGGCGUAAAGGGCGCGUAGGCGGCGCGAUAAGUUGGGCGUGAAAGGCCCGGGCUCAACCCGGGGACUGCGCUUGAUACUGUCGCGCUGUGAGUCCGGGAGAGGAUGGCGGAAUUCCCAGUGUAGAGGUGAAAUUCGUAGAUAUCGGGAGGAACACCAGUGGCGAAGGCGGCGAUCUGGGUAGAUACUGACGCUGAGGUGCGAAAGCGUGGGGAGCAACAGGAUUAAGAAACCGAGUAG
rnacentral:rRNA from 1 species